rnacentral:misc_RNA from 1 species
UUUUUUUUUUUUUUUUUUGAACUGGAAAAAGAAAUGGGAUAAUUGACUGGAAUGAAUUCUGGUUUGUAUGUAUUAGUUAAUGUGCUUUAUUUGAGAAGAAUAAGCUUAGAAUAACCAAAAAGAUCAUAGUUAUUAUAUGCUUUCUCAUUAUCAGUUAUGAGCUUAUGAGUCAUGACCAUUGCAGUCUGUGGACUCCUGUCAAGUUGGCUUGCUUUGUGACUUUGUAAAUGUAUCAUUAGGGUAUCAUAUAUUAUGCGAAGGCUAACUAAAUUGAGAUAUGAGAUGCAAAUUUUUUAACUUAGGAACUUUGGAUUAUCAUUAAUUUUUAAGGCAUAUCCAUCCUGGUUGUACGUGAGGCAUGAAUGUGAGUAGAAUCACUAUCAGUCUAUCACAUAAUUAGAUCUUUUCUUCCCUGUACCACAUCUUCUUCCAUCUGUUGGUUGUCUUAAUCUUAAUUAUCUAACUGUUGUCUUAGGGGUUCAGUUUUACAACAACAUGCACUACUAGCGAAUCAUGUUUCGCUUGUGCAUAUCAUCCUCGGCCACUUAGUUGCAGGGGAAAAAUAUUUUGUCUGAUAAAGAAUCUACAUGCAUCACACUUGACAUUACUAGAAACCAUUCAUCAUGUACUUAGCAUGGUCCUACCAAAUGAUAUUACUACACAAGUGAUUAUGUCCAUUUAAAUAUAGGUUAGUGUUGUCAAAAGCGCUAGGCGCUCUUAAGGCGAGAAGGUACUCCAUCGUCCGAGGCACUAGGCACUUGCCUGGGCGAAGUGAGGCGCUAUUUCAUUCUAAAAUAAUAAAUAAUU